CCUCUUCUCGCGAUGCGCUCCCGCUCCAUCCCCGCUGCCGCCGCCGCCCCCCACCACUCCCCUGUCUCCGGCUCAGCCACCUCCACCUCCACCACCCCCACCCUUCUCUCCAUCGCCCGCGGCACUCGAUCCGAUGCAGCGCCGAUCUGGCGGCGGGUGCGGCGUCUUGCUCCGGUGGCGACGGCGUCCUUAUGAUCCAAAGAAAGAGAGACAGGGAGUGAGGGAGCCCAACGCCACCGCAACGUCAAUGACCGCUCGCGCGUCUCAUUCACCUCCAAGCUUCGACGACGGCAGAUUAGCAGCCCCUGCGGCCGCGAUGACCCUGGAUCUACGGCCACAGCGGCGCCAGCGGCCCGGCCGGUGCAGGCCGCAACUAACCCUAGCUGCACUGGGAGUUCUCCAUCGGCUCGCCUUCCCCUCCGUCUCCGGUGGACAAACGCCUCUUCUUUCGCUCCGCCCUAGCUAUGGUAGACUGGGAUGAAUCUGCGCCCCACCGAUCUUGUUGGGUACCCUCCUAUUAUGUAGAAGCCUAGAAUUUCUAACACAAUGGCACCUCUAUGAUCCGGAGAUGUUGGCAUGUCAAGUUUUUGCUGGGACCACAUUGUGUUCUCUUCUGCCGGCAGAUUAAAUGAUGAAGGCGCUGACACUUUUCCCCAAUGUCUGGGCAAAGUCCAGAAAAUGGUGGGACACCAUCUAAUGAGGAGCGGCAUGUUGUACCAGGUUUAGAAGCAUCAGGUUCAGAAGGCAGGGGCGCAGACAACAUCAAUUGAUAAGCGUUAAAUCAUGGUCUUAUCAACAUGAUGGGUGUCAAGCUCGCGGUGUUGCCAUUCCGGGCGGAGUGGAGGCUGCCGCUUGCAUAGCUGCUUCAUCCGAAGGGUCGCCAUGACGAUGAUGCCAUCGCCUGACUGGGCGAGCCGAGGCAGGAUGCGAAGGCGGAGGUUGCCGCCCCCGCAGCUGCUCGGCCCUCUCUCCCUUGGUGUUGAGUUCUUCUUCGACCUUGGCCGUACACCGGGAGAGGAAAGAAGGACAUGAUGGAUGUCAACAUGAGAAGGACAGAAGACGUGCUGGCGCACAAGCGGCUCCUGGAGCUGGCCAAGGAUUCGGUGCAGCGCCAGGCUUUCGCCGUGGGGGGUCGUGCAAAGAUAUGAUCUUGACCCUGCUCAAGCUCGUCCACACCGUUGUCACUGUAGCUCCUUCUCCGAGUCUCUUAUCAUCUGCUUUGCUGCCGGCUUGGUAAAUCUUCUGGUUUACUUCUCCUCUUUCUCUCUUGAGCUCUGUAACCCGGCCAUCGUUGUGGCUGUAAUAAUUAGAUGAUAAUACUGUUCUACAGAAAUACAUGUUAGCAACACAGGUUUACCCUGGAAGGAAUUAUCUUGCAAAAGAAAUAUAGUAGAAACUGCAUUCUUGGGAAUUGUUAUGGUGUUGUUCUGGAAACAAAUGGCAUGUCUGAAUGCUUGCUUGCUUAAAUUAAGUGUAUAGGUAAGAGCGUAAAGCCAUAAAUUAAGCUAAAAUUAGGUGUAGCCUGCCUCUAAUUUGUUUCAGGUCAUGGACUUCUAUAUUGAUAAAUCUGCCUCUCAUAUUAUGCAGAAGUUGCAUGAUCUGAAGAAGAAUAACUCACGCCCAUUACCGCUAAUGUUUCAAUUAAAUGUCCACACAUCAUGUUCUCAUCUAUGGGAGUUCUUUUGUUGCAUAAUGCCCAGAACCUGUUUGCGUUAUUGAAUAUGAAAUUGCAAAUGUUAUUCGCGUUAAGCUUGCUAGGAAACGGAUUUUGGAGGUAUGCAUACGGUUCUCUAUUGUAGUAAAGUAAUUUAUUUGAAUUAUUGGUUACUUUCCCCUUUUGUUUGUUCAAGGAUGUAAGUUGUCCCCUGAUGCAUGGUCCUACCAUCCUAGACACAUUUGAAAUUUAUUUUAUUGUCUCAUUCAUGGACAACGGAUUUAGUUUGCUUGUAAUUAUGUGAUGGAUGGAUUAUAACAAGGUUAGACUAUCUGACCUUCUUAAUGUUAAGCCUUUGUAACCAUGAUGGGGAUUUUUGCUAUGUUUUUUUAUUGCUAGAACAUAGUAGAUGGACAGAAUCAAAACUCUAAAUUUGGUGUACCAAUUAAGAUGUUGUAUUUCACAUGCUCUAGACAUGCUAUAGACAUAUUGCUUCUGUCAUUUUGAUUAAUUAGUGGUAGAUGCAUAUAGUUAAACUGAAUAAUCAGCUUAUCCAAUUAGUUAAACUGAAUAAUCAGCUUCUGUCCUAUGGCUUGUAUGUCGUGGCAAGAUGCCAACUUACUACACCAAUUCUCAUUGGAAAUAAUACUCUU